rnacentral:rRNA from 1 species
AGUGAACGCUGGCGGUAGGCCUAACACAUGCAAGUCGAACGGCAGCACAGUAAGAGCUUGCUCUUACGGGUGGCGAGUGGCGGACGGGUGAGGAAUACAUCGGAAUCUACUUUUUCGUGGGGGAUAACGUAGGGAAACUUACGCUAAUACCGCAUACGACCUACGGGUGAAAGCAAGGGAUCUUCGGACCUUGCGCGAUUGAAUGAGCCGAUGUCGGAUUAGCUAGUUGGCGGGGUAAAGGCCCACCAAGGCGACGAUCCGUAGCUGGUCUGAGAGGAUGAUCAGCCACACUGGAACUGAGACACGGUCCAGACUCCUACGGGAGGCAGCAGUGGGGAAUAUUGGACAAUGGGCGCAAGCCUGAUCCAGCCAUACCGCGUGGGUGAAGAAGGCCUUCGGGUUGUAAAGCCCUUUUGUUGGGAAAGAAAAGCAGCAGGUUAAUACCCCGCUGUUCCGACGGUACCCAAAGAAUAAGCACCGGCUAACUUCGUG